CGACCUCAAAUCAGGUAGGAAUACCCGCUGAACUUAAGCAUAUCAAUAAGCGGAGGAAAAGAAAAUAACAAUGAUUCCCCUAGUAACGGCGAGCGAAGAGGGAAUAGCUCAAAUUUUAAAUCUGUAGGUUUUACCUAACCGAGUUGUAAUUUGAAGAAGCGUUUUCCGUGUUUUCGAUUAACCCAAAUCCUUUGGGAUAAGGUAUCAUGGAGGGUGAGAAUCCCGUCCGGUUAAAUCGAGACGCUUUACGAUACGCUUUCUAAGAGUCGAGUUGUUUGGGAUUGCAGCUCAAAAUGGGAGGUAUAUUUCUCCUAAGGCUAAAUAAAGGCGAGAGACCGAUAGCGAACAAGUACCGUGAGGGAGAGAUGAAAAGAACUUUGAAAAGAGAGUUAAACAGUACGUGAAAUUGUUGAAAGGGAAACGAUUAAAGUCAGUCGUACCGACGGGGAAUCAACUUCCCGAGCGUGGUUUAGUGGGUUCAAAGUGCCUUUGUUCUCGCGAUAUCUGCGUUCUUUUGGUGCACUUUCCCGUAUUGUAGGUUAGCAUCGGUUUUGAUCGUCAUAAAAAGAUUGGAGGAAUGUGGCUCCGACUUCGGUUGAAGUGUUAUAGACUCUGGUAGAUGUGAUGGUUGAGACCGAGGAUUGCAACGGAUGCCCUUAAGGGCUAUCCGCCUGGCCUCUGAUUUGUUGCUUUGGCUUCGAAAGCUUGCUUACGAGGUAAAAGUUUGCGGUCAAUAGGUUAGAACGGAUUAAAUUCGUUAAGGAUGCUGACGUAAUGGCUUUAAACGACCCGUCUUGAAACACGGACCAAGGAGUCUAACAUGUAUGCGAGUGUU
rnacentral:rRNA from 1 species